ACUCAGUGCACCUACUGACUUUGCACCUCCACGACGGCGCUCAGUGUACCCAUGUCCUAGAUUUUACUGUACCUGGGAUAACCCUUCUUGUAAUGUUAGCCCUGGUCGUUUUAUGCCUUGUGUUUCCAGAAGCUAUCCAGUAACAGUACAGUCAUGUGACUGUCAGUUGUGGCUCUCAUCCAGAGGUUAAAGUAAUGCUAGUAUCCGCCUUAUACAGAAAAUAUAUCGGAAUCUUAAGAAGCUAUGAUUAGAAAAUCAUCAUCAUCAUCAUAGAGGUCGUUGUUUGGAUGAUUUCCUGUAUAUGAAGAUUCCCUAAUAAGCACUUGCGCAUGCGCUUUGCGCUUAUUAAAAUAACAUUUUUGCAUUUCUUGACAUUUUUUAGCUUUGUAACUUGUAAGCCAUUAAAAUUCCCUUUAGAAAUUAUAUUGUAACUUAAGA